UUGUAACACGUGACUAACCUACCUCCGAGUGGGGAAUAACUUCGGGAAACCGAGGCUAAUACCGCAUAACACUUACGAGUCAAAGCAGCAAUGCGCUUGGAGAGGGGGUCGCGGCAGAUUAGCUAGUUGGCGGGGUAAUGGCCCACCAAGGCGAUGAUCUGUAUCCGGCCUGAGAGGGCGCACGGACACACUGGAACUGAAACACGGUCCAGACUCCUACGGGAGGCAGCAGUGGGGAAUUUUGCGCAAUGGGGGAAACCCUGACGCAGCAACGCCGCGUGGAGGAUGAAGUCUCUUGGGACGUAAACUCCUUUCGAUCGGGACGAUUAUGACGGUACCGGAAGAAGAAGCCCCGGCUAACUUCGUGCCAGCAGCCGCGGUAAUACGAGGGGGGCAAGCGUUGUUCGGAAUUAUUGGGCGUAAAGGGCGCGUAGGCGGUUUGGCAAGUCUAGUGUGAAAUCUUCGGGCUCAACUCGAAGUCUGCACUGGAAACUGCCGGGCUUGAGUAUGGGAGAGGUGAGUGGAAUUUCCGGUGUAGCGGUGAAAUGCGUAGAUAU
rnacentral:rRNA from 2 species